rnacentral:tRNA from 1 species
GUGCCCGGUGCGCAGGCCGGGAGUUCUUCCGCUGAUAACGGGGAGGUCCCGGGUUCGAAUCCCGGCGGACGCG